rnacentral:snRNA from 1 species
AGGUCUCUAAGUUGGUUUAGCUUAC